rnacentral:sRNA from 1 species
AGACGAAAGAUGAGGCUUCCUCGGCCAC